UACGAAGGGGGCUAGCGUUGCUCGGAAUUACUGGGCGUAAAGCGCACGUAGGCGGAUUGUUAAGUCGGGGGUGAAAUCCUGGAGCUCAACUCCAGAACUGCCUUCGAUACUGGCGAUCUCGAGUUCGGGAGAGGUGAGUGGAACUGCGAGUGUAGAGGUGAAAUUCGUAGAUAUUCGCAAGAACACCAGUGGCGAAGGCGGCUCACUGGCCCGAUACUGACGCUGAGGUGCGAAAGCGUGGGAGCAAACGGG
rnacentral:rRNA from 1 species